CCUACGGGAGGCAGCAGUGAGGAAUAUUGGUCAAUGGACGAGAGUCUGAACCAGCCAAGUAGCGUGAAGGAUGACUGCCCUAUGGGUUGUAAACUUCUUUUAUAUGGGAAUAAAACGUUCCACGUGUGGGAUUUUGUAUGUACCAUAUGAAUAAGGAUCGGCUAACUCCGUGCCAGCAGCCGCGGUAAUACGGAGGAGCCGGUCGUUAACCGGAUUUAUUGGGUUUAAAGGGAGCGUAGGUGGAUUGUUAAGUCAGUUGUGAAAGUUUGCGGCUCAACCGUAAAAUUGCAGUUGAAACUGGCAGUCUUGAGUACAGUAGAGGUGGGCGGAAUUCGUGGUGUAGCGGUGAAAUGCUUAGAUAUCACGAAGAACUCCGAUUGCGAAGGCAGUUCACUGGACUGCAACUGACACUGAGGCUCGAAAGUGUGGGUAUCAAACAGGAUUAGAUACCCUUGUAGUC
rnacentral:rRNA from 1 species